rnacentral:rRNA from 1 species
CCUACGGGAGGCAGCAGUGGGGAAUAUUGCGCAAUGGGCGCAAGCCUGACGCAGUGACGCCGCGUGAGGGAUGAAGGUCUUCGGAUCGUAAACCUCUGUCGGCAGGGAAGAACGGUCAUUGUGUUAAUCAGCAGGGAAUUGACGGUAACUGCAAAGGAAGCACCGGCUAACUCCGUGCCAGCAGCCGCGGUAAUACGGAGGGUGCGAGCGUUAAUCGGAAUUACUGGGCGUAAAGCGCACGUAGGCGGGAUGUCAAGUCAGGUGUGAAAGCCCCGCGAUCAACGUGGGAACUGCCUUUGAUACUGGGAAACUGGAGUGCGUUAGGGGAGAGUGGAAUUCCAGGGGUAGGGGUGAAAUGCGUAGAGAUGUGGAGGAACACCAGUGGCGAAGGCGGC